GACGUAGGGGGCGAGCGUUGUCCGGAAUUACUGGGCGUAAAGAGCGUGUAGGCGGGUAUUUAAGUCAGGUGUGAAAUACCGGGGCUCAACCUCGGGGCUGCACCUGAAACUGGGUAUCUUGAGGGCAGGAGAGGGAAGUGGAAUUCCUGGUGUAGCGGUGAAAUGCGUAGAUAUCAGGAGGAACACCGGUGGCGAAGGCGGCUUCCUGGACUGACCCUGACGCUGAGACGCGAAAGCGUGGGGAGCAAACAGG
rnacentral:rRNA from 1 species